rnacentral:rRNA from 1 species
GACGAACGCUGGCGACGUGCUUAACACAUGCAAGUCGAACGGAAAGGCCCUGCUUUUUUGGGGUGCUCGAGUGGCGAACGGGUGAGUAACACGUGAGUAACCUGCCCUUGACUUUGGGAUAACUUCAGGAAACUGGGGCUAAUACCGGAUAGGAGCUCCUGCUGCAUGGUGGGGGUUGGAAAGUUUCGGCGGUUGGGGAUGGACUCGCGGCUUAUCAGCUUGUUGGUGGGGUAGUGGCUUACCAAGGCUUUGACGGGUAGCCGGCCUGAGAGGGUGACCGGCCACAUUGGGACUGAGAUACGGCCCAGACUCCUACGGGAGGCAGCAGUGGGGAAUAUUGCACAAUGGGCGGAAGCCUGAUGCAGCAACGCCGCGUGCGGGAUGACGGCCUUCGGGUUGUAAACCGCUUUCGCCUGUGACGAAGCGUGAGUGACGGUAAUGGGUAAAGAAGCACCGGCUAACUACGUG